CGUAAGACGAAGCCGUAGCGAAAGUGAGUCCGAAAUGGGCGUACAGUCGCUGGGAGUAGACCCGAAACCCGGUGAUCUACCCCAUGUCCAGGAUGAAACGAGGGUAAAACCUCGUGGAGGUCCGAACUCACUACAGUGAAAAUGUAGGGGAUGAGGUGUGGGUCGGAGUGAAAGGCUAAUCAAACCGGGAGAUAGCUGGUUCUCGCCGAAAGAUAUUUAGGUAUCGCCUCGGAAAACUCUGUCGAGGAGGUAGAGCACUGGAUGGGCUAGGGGUCUUACCAGAUUACCAAACCCAACCAAACUCCUAAUGCCUCGACAUUUACUCCGGGAGUCAGGCUGUGGGAGCUAAGUUCCAUGGCCAAAAGGGAAAGAGCCCAGACCGCCAGCUAAGGUCCCUAAGUCGUUGCUAAGUGGUAAAGGAUGUGGAAGCACACAGACAACCAGGAGGUUGGCUUAGAAGCAGCCAUCCUUUAAAGAAAGCGUAAUAGCUCACUGGUC
rnacentral:rRNA from 1 species